rnacentral:lncRNA from 1 species
AGAAGAGUCUGACUCAUUGAAAGAAAAAACACAUUAACUGACAAAAAACAAAUCAGAGGAAAAAUCAUAGACCAUUUCGGGUGGCUGGCUGAGGCAAUAGCAGGGCUGCAAGUGAUGAGAAUGGGCAAUUAAUCAGAAAAGGCUGCUCAUGAGCACAAGAGCUGCUUGGAGAUCUGGGAAGUCGCUCAGCGAUUCCCCACAGAGCUUGAUGUUGACAUGAAAAUUGGAACUGCAGAUGGCAACCUUGAGAGUAGAAGAGUCCAGAACUGGCUGGGAACCUGGCCACCCUCUGGGGCCCUGCAGAAAUGAGAAAACUCAGAUUUUCCAAAGAUAAGAGGUAUAUCUAGAAGCAUACAG